rnacentral:rRNA from 1 species
ACGAACGCUGGCGGCGUGCUUCACACAUGCAAGUCGAACGGAAAGGCCCUGCUUUUGUGGGGUGCUCGCGUGGCGAACGGGUGAGUAACACGUGAGUAACCUGCCCUUGACUUUGGGAUAACUUCAGGAAACUGGGGCUAAUACCGGAUAGGAGCUCCUGCUGCCUGGUGGGGGUUGGAAAGUUUCGGCGGUUGGGGAUGGACUCGCGGCUUAUCAGCUUGUUGGUGGGGUAGUGGCUUACCAAGGCUUUGACGGGUAGCCGGCCUGAGAGGGUGACCGGCCACAUUGGGACUGAGAUACGGCCCAGACUCCUACGGGAGGCAGCAGUGGGGAAUAUUGCACAAUGGGCGGAAGCCUGAUGCAGCAACGCCGCGUGCGGGAUGACGGCCUUCGGGUUGUAAACCGCUUUCGCCUGUGACGAAGCGUGAGUGACGGUAAUGGGUAAAGAAGCACCGGCUAACUACGUG